rnacentral:rRNA from 1 species
UACGGAGGGAGCUAGCGUUGUUCGGAUAUACUGGGCGUAACGCGCACGUAGGCGGCGCCGUAAGUCAGGGGUGAAAUCCCGGAGCUCAACUCCGGAACUGCCCUUGAAACUGCAGUGCUAGAAUCUUGGAGAGGCGAGUGGAAUUCCGAGUGUAGAGGUGAAAUUCGUAGAUAUUCGCAAGAACACCAGUGGCGAAGGCGGCUCACUGGCCCGAUACUGACGCUGAGGCACGAAAGCGUGGGGAGCAAACAGG